UUCAGAGCAUAGCUUAACUAUGAUAAAGCGCCUCCCUUACACUGAGGAGAUGCCCGUGCAAAUCGGGCUGACCUGAAAC
rnacentral:tRNA from 1 species